rnacentral:tRNA from 1 species
UAAUGAAUAAAUAAUUUAAACAAGUUAAUGAGCUUGAACAAGCAUAU